rnacentral:rRNA from 1 species
AACGUAGGUACCGAGCGUUAUCCGGAUUUACUGGGCGUAAAGCGCGUUCAGGCGGUUUGGCAAGUCGGGCAUGAAAUCUCUCGGCUCAACCGGGAGAGGUUGUCCGAUACUUCCAGACUUGAGGGCAGUAGAGGGUGGUGGAAUUCCGGGUGUAGUGGUGAAAUGCGUAGAUAUCCGGAGGAACACCAGUGGCGAAAGCGGCCACCUGGACUGCACCUGAUGCUGACACGCGAAAGCUAGGGGAGCGAACGGG